GAUGAACGCUGGCGGCGUGCCUAAUACAUGCAAGUCGAGCGAACAGACGAGGAGCUUGCUCCUCUGACGUUAGCGGCGGACGGGUGAGUAACACGUGGAUAACCUACCUAUAAAACUGGGAUAACUUCGGGAAACCGGAGCUAAUACCGGAUAAUAUAUUGAACCGCAUGGUUCAAUAGUGAAAGACGGUUUUGCUGUCACUUAUAGAUGGAUCCGCGCCGCAUUAGCUAGUUGGUAAGGUAACGGCUUACCAAGGCAACGAUGCGUAGCCGACCUGAGAGGGUGAUCGGCCGCACUGGAACUGAGACACGGUCCAGAAUCCUACGGAAGGCAGCAGUAGGGAAUCUUCCGCAAUGGGCGAAAGCCUGACGGAGCAACGCCGCGUGAGUGAUGAAGGUCUUCGGAUCGUAAAACUCUGUUAUUAGGGAAGAACAAAUGUGUAAGUAACUAUGCACGUCUUGACGGUACCUAAUCAGAAAGCCACGGCUAACUACGUG
rnacentral:rRNA from 1 species